CCGUUUGUGAGAGAAAACCUGGUAUCUGGCAUCUGACGUUUCAGCACAAUCUUCUAUUCUGCACCUGGAUGACAUCACUGUUCUGUCCUUUGCAGAGAUGUGCACACAGGGCCCUAACUCUCUGGGAGCUGCUAGGGGCAGAGCCCAGUAAUCCCGACGACUUAGUGGAUCCUGUGCCUCCCAAGGAUGGUGCCCACGGUGACUGCACACUUGUCACAGACUGGCAGGCCAUUUGUCUGCUGCAGCCCACCAAAUCCCACAGAUCCUUCUGGAUACUUUGCAGCAGGCUUUUCAUACCUUGAGUCUUAUUUAAUGUUCACAUGAAAAAGCAACUACUGUUUGCUGUGCUCAUAAAAGUCUUGUUAGAAAUUAACAUCUUGCGUGAAUAAAAACAUCAAGUAAGUA
rnacentral:lncRNA from 1 species